rnacentral:rRNA from 1 species
GGAAGUAAAAGUCGUAACAAGGUUUCCGAAGGUGAACCUGCGGAAGGAUCAUUAUCGAGUUUUGAACGGGUUGUAGCUGGCCUCUCACGAGGCAUGUGCACGCCUGGCUCAUCCACUCUUAACCUCUGUGCACUUUAUGUAAGAGAAAAAAAUGGUGGAGGCUUCCAGGAUCUCGCGAGAGGUCUUCGGUUGAACAAGCCGUUUUUCUUUCUUAUGUUUUACUACAAACGCUUCAGUUAUAGAAUGUCAACUGUGUAUAACACAUUUAUAUACAACUUUCAGCAACGGAUCUCUUGGCUCUCGCAUCGAUGAAGAACGCAGCGAAAUGCGAUAAGUAAUGUGAAUUGCAGUAUUCAGUGAAUCAUCGAAUCUUUGAACGCACCUUGCACUCCUUGGUAUUCCGAGGAGUAUGCCUGUUUGAGUCUCAUGGUAUUCUCAACCCCUAAAUUUUUGUAAUGAAGGUUUAGUGGGCUUGGACUUGGAGGUUGUGUCGGCCCUUGUCGGUCGACUCCUCUGAAAUGCAUUAGCGUGAAUCUUACGGAUCGCCUUCAGUGUGAUAAUUAUCUGCGCUGUGGUGUUGAAGUAUUUAUGGUGUUCAUGCUUCGAACCGUCUCCUUGCCGAGACAAUCAUUUGACAAUCUGAGCUCAAAUCAGGUAGGACUACCCGCUGAACUUAAGCAUAUCAAUAAGCGGAGGA